CCUACGGGAGGCAGCAGUGGGGAAUAUUGCGCAAUGGGCGAAAGCCUGACGCAGCGACGCCGCGUGAGGGAUGAAGGUCUUCGGAUCGUAAACCUCCGUCAGCAGGGAAGAACGGUCACUGUGCUAAUCAGCAGUGAAUUGACGGUACCUGCAAAGGAAGCACCGGCUAACUCCGUGCCAGCAGCCGCGGUAAUACGGAGGGUGCGUGCGUUAAUCGGAAUUACUGGGCGGAAAGCGCUCGUAGGCGGUAUGUCAAGUCAAGGGUGAAAUCCCCGCGCUCAACGUGGGAACUGCCUUUGAAACUGGCAAACUGGAGUGUGUGAGAGGAUAGUGGAAUGCCAGGUGUAGGAGUGAAAUGCGUAGAUAUCUGGAGGAACAUCAGUGGCGAAGGCGACUAUCUGGCACAUAACUGACGCUGAGGAGCGAAAGCGUGGGUAGCAAACAGGAUUAGAUACCCCGGUAGUC
rnacentral:rRNA from 1 species